CACGUAGGGUGCGAGCGUUAAUCGGAAUUAUUGGGCGUAAGGGGUGCGUAGGUGGAUGAAUAAGUCUGAUGUGAAAGCCCUGGGCUUAACCUAGGAAUAGCAUUAGAUACUGUUUUGUCUUGAGUGGAGUAGAGGAUAGCGGAAUUUCCGGUGUAGCGGUGAAAUGCGUAGAUAUCGGAAAGAACACCAGUGGCGAAGGCGGCUAUCUGGGCUCACACUGACACUGAGGCACGAAAGCGUGGGGAGCGAACAGG
rnacentral:rRNA from 1 species